GCCUUCGUGAUGUAACGAUAGCACACUCGGCGCAAUUCGACAGGCCCAGGUUCGAGUCCCGGCGAGGGCA
rnacentral:tRNA from 1 species